rnacentral:tRNA from 2 species
AGCCCGAUAGUGUAGAGGUCAAGCAUAGGGGCCUUUGGAGCCCUUGACGGCAGUUCGAAUCUGCCUCGGGCUA